rnacentral:rRNA from 1 species
CAGGAUGAACGCUAGCGACAGGCCUAACACAUGCAAGUCGAGGGGCAGCACAAGGAGCAAUCUGAGGUGGCGACCGGCGCACGGGUGAGUAACACGUAUGCAACCUGCCUGUAAGCGGGGAAUAACCCGUUGAAAGACGGACUAAUACCGCAUAAUACUAAAUUACUGCAUGGUAAUUUAUUUAAACAUUUAUGGCUUACAGAUGGGCAUGCGCAUGAUUAGCUAGUUGGAGAGGUAACGGCUCCCCAAGGCAACGAUCAUUAGGGGUUCUGAGAGGAAGGUCCCCACACUGGUACUGAGACACGGACCAGACUCCUACGGGAGGCAGCAGUGAGGAAUAUUGGUCAAUGGACGAGAGUCUGAACCAGCCAAGUCGCGUGCAGGAAGAAUGUCCUAAUGGAUUGUAAACUGCUUUUGCAGGGGAAUAAAGUGCAUCACGUGUGAUGUUUUGUAUGUACUCUGCGAAUAAGGAUCGGCUAACUCCGUGCCAGCCGCUGC